CGUGUAGGCGGUUUGUACAGUCAGAUGUGAAAUCCCCGGGCUUAACCUGGGAGCUGCAUUUGAGACGUGCAGACUAGAGUGUGAGAGAGGGUUGUGGAAUUCCCAGUGUAGAGGUGAAAUUCGUAGAUAUCGGGAGGAACACCAGUGGCGAAGGCGGCCUACUGGGCACCAACUGACGCUGAGGCUCGAAAGUGUGGUAGCAAACA
rnacentral:rRNA from 1 species